rnacentral:misc_RNA from 1 species
UGUGGGAGCGAGCCUGCUCGCGAUAGCGUCAUGUCAGUCACAUUGCUGUUGGCUGAAACAUCGCUAUCGCGAGCAGGCUCGCUCCCACA